rnacentral:lncRNA from 1 species
UUGUUGUAAAGGAACCAAAUGGCGAAAGUCACAAUCACAAUCACUUGGCUUGUCACUAUUAUUGCAAGAAAGGCCAUACCACGGUUAAAUACAAAUUUAUGAGAUACUUGGUUCCUAAAGGUGUAUUUCAAUGGUUUCCCAAGUGAAACAAUAUUUCCAUUCACUCUUAAGGACCCAGUGAAAAUUGGAUACCUUGAUAGUGGAUGUUCAAGGUAUAUGACAUGGGAGAUUUCCCUAUUCAGUGACUUCACG